GGAAGUAAAAGUCGUAACAAGGUUUCCGUAGGUGAACCUGCGGAAGGAUCAUUACUGAUUUAGCGAACCGAGCAUUAGCGAGGUUUUGCGAUCAAUUUAUAUCUAAAACCCACUCUUUAAUGUAUAAAAUUUAUAUUAAUGAUAAAUUAAAAGAUCACUUUCAACAACGGAUCUCUUGGCUCUCGCAUCGAUGAAGAACGUAGCGAAGUGCGAUAAGUAAUGUGAAUUGCAGUAUUCCGUGAAUCAUCGAAUCUUUGAACGCAUAUUGCACUUUCUGGUAUUCCGGAAAGUAUGCCUGUUUGAGGGUCAGUUAAAUAAAAAUCGGUGUUGUUGCCGCUUUUCGUGGUGACGCGUCGGAAUUGAGUUGUCUUACCUUCGGUUAAGUGACUUAAAAUUUUGUAUGAUUUUCGAACGUAUUUAAAUUUAUUUGAACGUUCGAUAUCGAAUGCUUAUUAGGUUCGGUCAUCCUCAUGACUCGCGCCUAUAAUUUUUCAUUAAAUGACCUCAAAUCAGGUAAGAAUACCCGCUGAACUUAAGCAUAUCAAUAAGCGGAGGA
rnacentral:rRNA from 1 species